rnacentral:rRNA from 1 species
CCCUUAGAUGUUCUGGGCCGCACGCGCGCUACACUGACACGUUCAUCAAGUCUAUAACCUUGACCGAGAGGUCUGGGUAAUCUUUUAAAAACGUGUCGUGCUGGGGAUAGAUUAUUGCAAUUAUUAAUCUUCAACGAGGAAUUCCUAGUAAACGCAGAUCAUCAAUCUGCAUUGAUUACGUCCCUGCCCUUUGUACACACCGCCCGUCGCACCUACCGAUUGGAUGGUCCGGUGAAGCCUCGGGAUUGUGGUUCUUGCCGCUUUAUUGUGGCGUGACCGCGAGAACUUGUCUAAACCUUAUCAUCUAGAGGAAGGUGAAGUCGUAACA